GUCGAAGCGCGCGACCUACUAUUGCCCGCUGAGCUACGGUUACCGAGUGGGGAUGAGUUAAUCCAGUUUUGUUUCGACUCUUGUACUCGUCGGACGCGUAGUGAUUUACGCAUUUUAAUUUCGUUUAUAAUUUAAAAUUGUGCGUGAAUUUUGCAUCCAAGAUACGCGCGUAUUAUUUUUAAGUCUUUAUAGUGUAUAUACGUUCUAUUUUUAAUACGUUUAUUCGCGAAGUGAUAGUUUUUUUACAUAUUUUUCGCGUUUAAAGUAUAUAUCGUUUAUCGCGAGUGUUUCGAUCGAACGUACGUUUUAUUCGAAAGUGUUUUUUCGCGACAAUUUCGUGUUUUUUAUUCGCGAGUGUUGGUAAAUUUCGCCAAUUACGAUGGAUCUAUUGAUGGAUAGAAGGAAAACGUUGAAUAAAAGCCACGAACAAGCUGGAUAAAUGCGUGAAAGCUACGAACGACUCUGUCAAAGAUGUCGCGAUACAUUAACAAUCUCCUCAAUAUAGAUAGAUACAUUCUCCAAAUGAAUUUAGCAGAGAAUCGUGGAGGAGUAAUUAAUGGGGGAGAAUUUUCGUUUCGUUAUUCAGUUGGGCCGACGCGGAAAGACAGGGUACAGGUGUUGCCUGUGUCAGAUAAUGGUUCGGCUAUCUGCUAAUUCGGGAUAGGAGUUCGCCGGCAAAAUCCUGACAGCAGGGAGUUUUGGCCAGGAGUGGUCGCCAUAGAGAAAGAGAGAAAGAGAGAGAGAGAGAGGGAGAGAGAGAGAAGUGGUAAUUGGUGUCUGAAAGCUGUUUUCACCCGGAAACCAAUCGUCCUCCUCUUCGACGAAACUUUCGCAGCGGAGUUUCCAGAUGUAGACCAUCCACCGGUGUAACCAAUCGUCGAAACCGUGCCACCCAGCAACCAACCCGUGGAAGAAAAAUUGCGGCCGGUGAAGCGCGAAAACUGUGCAGGGAACACGUGGAAAAGUUUCGUGGCCGUGGUUGGCUAGCGUGAAACCGCAUCACUUUUCUGAUCGCCGAUAUCACGGGAAUACCUUUUGCCUCUGAUUGAACCGUUACGGAAACGGGUGGAGAAAAAAAAAAAAAAAAUCCUUUUGGGAUCAAAAUCCAGAGCAGCACAACUGACCACAGCCCUAGCUUCGUAGAUACACGAAACGAGCCGGCCGCAUUCACGAGCGACGACUCCCAGGAGUCGUAUAGUUGGUGACUAGUAAUUAGCUGGACGAGUGACAGUAUCUCCUUUAUCACUCCCCGUGGGUACAACGAGCACGCGAUAUCCUAGCUCAGGCCUCGUAUCUCAACAUUCGUUUCCUAUAAUUUAAUGUACAGUAUAAUUCCUUGUUAUCGGAUCAAUCAUAACGUAUAAUUCACUAAUAGGUAUUCGUUUCAACGGAUAGUCGAGUAUGAACGACGGGAUCCUUGGGAUCAUCGUUGGAAGAUCGGAGGAAGAUCUUGUUUCGAGAUCGAACGAGACCCGUUCUCAUCUUUUCUCAUCUUUCAUUCUUCAUUUUCAUUCGAAGAAGAAUCUGGCUAGAAGAGAGCCGUGGCUGGUUGGCGAAUCUUCUUCUCCAAUGCAAUUCCAUCCACCAUACCUUCCAUACCCUUUUUAUCCUUGCUCGCUCUUGUGUAUCCAGGUAGAUUUGUACAUAUACCCUCCAUCUCCGAACACUCCCAUCCCUUCUUCCGGUUUUCAUUCCCCGCGUGUCUUUCCCAGUUGCCGAGGCGUUUAUCCGGAUGCUUUUCAGCUACGUGCACACCUGGAAGAUGUUCCACGGGAAAAAAGGACGAGUUCAUAACCCGGGAUACAGACGAGAAUAUAAAGCAGACAGCACCAUCUUAUAACCUUUUCCUCCCAACAUCCUCAACAUUUUUCUUCGUUUCCCCUCCUUCGUUUCUCGCUGUAACUACAGUUUUUCCACCUUUAAAAGGAUCAUUUUAGCAGCGAAUGUUUACGGCUACCCAAACGAAAUUUCGCGAAAAUACAUAGUUUUAGAUCUAUCAAAGGAAAAACGAAGGAAUACGGAGAGAUAAUAAUAAAUAAAAAAUUAGAAACAUCGUGUAAUGAAGAUCUAACGAUGAAUAUUUUUUCAAUUCAAUAAAUCGUGGAUUAUUAUUCUAACACGUAAACGAAAAAGGAUAUUUAUAAAUAAUUCAAGAAGGUUUCAUUUUUAUUCGCUCAACCGACGAUUCCGCUGAAAAUUGACAAUCAUCGUAAUCGUUUCACCCUGGCGGAUAAUUCAUCACGAGUUUUCAACGGCAUUUUCUCGUCGAUCAGCAUUCCUGAUACGAGGUUUCCACUCCCUAGCCAUCCACCCAGACCGACCGAAAUGCGUAUAAUCCCUCGAAUUUCGAUCGCACAAUAAAUGACUAAUCACGUGGAAUGCGAUUAAUUAAACGAUCCCCCUCCGUUAACCGACGUAUUAUUAAUCACGAGGCUGAAUGUUUCAACGGGUUUGCACCGAUUUAAUUAACAUCGAUCAACGCACGGAUUAAAAAUUAACAUCGCUUCCGCCCUUUUCAAACUUUCAGCCUAAUUAACUUCGACCCCUCCCCCACGUACAUCCGGCGGGAAGGAAUGGAAAAUGAAAAUUGAAGGCAAAUUAUCGGUUCCGUGGCGUGAUGAAGCCCGAUAAAGGGUUGGGAGAGACGUUGAAAGCGACAACUUAUGAACAAUCUUGCGUUGUAUGUAACAGGUCCCUUAUGCCAUCGGGGACAUCGUGCUCGCAACCAUCCCCUAUCCACUCCCCUCCCUUGUCUAUAGGACGUUGUAAACUUGCUAUAUAUAUCUCGAUAUCUCGACGUAACAUCGCGGCUCGUAAUUUAGCCAACAGAUUGCCCCGUUCUCUGACGCUCGCUGUUAUAUAAGCUCUGUCUCCGAUUAAAACGAAACGUGGAAACGCGUUCAAUCAUUUUCGAAAAUUUGUGCGAUUGGCCUCGAUUCGAUCUACUCUACCCUACCCCCUUGAUUUGCGAUUCAAACGAAGUGGAGUGAAAUUUCGAGAAUGGAAUAAAGGAUAAUAAAUUAUUUCUCGAGGAGAGAGGGAUCGCUUCCUCGAAAGGAUAUUUCUGGAUUAAACGGACGACUCUUGGAGGAUUUCAAUAUAAAUCAACGGCUUAUGAAUAUUAACAAGUUUAAGUUUCUUGUUGACUUGUUGUUCUCUCGCAAUGCUGAAGGCAUUCUCGAUCUCUCGUACGUGAAACUUCCUGUAUUUACGGGACAAUUUUUACUCGAUGGUAAGGUUAUGCUUCUUUUCGUUUUAUACAAUUUUUGGAAGGAAUGAAAAAUUCUUUAUGCAAAUGUCUUAGAAGAGAUAUAUUAUUCAGGUUGAAAAAUGUUUCAAAGAAAUGUGCUUGUGGAGGAUCGAGAACGAAUUUAUUAGAGCAAUACAGUAAUGGAUAUAUCAUAUCGUAUCGAUCCGAAGUGGAAAAUUAUACGAUUCGUGUUAGGCUAUUAUUUAUUGCCUAGAAUCUAGUCCUCGGCAACGUUUAUAGUCUUCCCUGGGUCGGAACGUUAGAUAACGCGUAAUGCACGCGAAAUGCCCGAUGCAAUUAAACCGUAUUUACGACUCCGCGUCUCGGUGGCGAACUUCGUUCAUUGACAAUAAAGCGAAAAUGGAUGUGCAUUAACACUAUUUUCGCGUGUUCAUUCAGCGUCAAGCGGCUUAGCAGCCUCGACAACCGAGCGAAUCCUCCGAGCGAAACCUCGUUUCUCGCAAAUGAUCGAUAAAACCUAAAAACCCUGUUCGAUUUUCCAAUCGAAUUUCGAAAAAUACAUCGAUCUCUUCGCAAAUAUUUCCAUUCCUCUCGUUCAUAUUUCUUGCCAAUUCUAGAGGAUUGUACAAAUUCUGUCGCACGAGUGCAAUUUCUAAUUUCUUCUAAAAAAGAAAAGAAAAAAAAAAGGAGAAAGGAAAAAGAAAGAAUCAAUUCCAUUAGUUAAACUUUAAAUCGAAAGGGAAAAGAGAUACUUAUUUUUAAAUAACGAGUUAACGACCUCCUCCUCCCUCCCCUCCCUUUCUCUCGGUGAAAAUAAAAUAUAAAAGUACGACGUGGAAACGAUGGUGGGCGUAAUUUUUUUCGAAUAAACAGCGCGACCGUAGUGUAAUUCCGUUAGAUACGAUCUUCCGGCACAAUGGAGCUGCGCCCGAUUCAGCUUGGAUAAAUCAAAGCGGCGGCCACGAUAAAACCUCGGGACUUUUCUUCCCAGACAGGGAUAAACUCGAGAGCAAGUUUUCCAGGCCGAGGCAAUAACCGCGCGACGUCGCGACGCCCCCGCAAUCGUAUUCAUUCCGCUCGCUUUUUUAUUUAUUUGUUACCUCUUUUUUUUCCUUUUUUUUUUUUUUUAGCUCUCUUUCUCUCUUUCAAUUUUUUAGUCGAAUUAAUUAACUCCAUACACUCGCUAAUACGGGAUACGCCAUCGCCUCGUUUGUCCUAGACUCGUUUGUCGUUCCACUAGCAAAGAAAUCUUCUUUUGUGCCCGCUGAAAAAGAAACGACGAGGGUGACAUGGUCACGUAGGGGUUUUAAACGAUGUCUCUGUGUGUAUCAUUUUAUGUCUUUUUUUCUCUUUCUUUUUUCUCCCCUCCCCCCUUCCUGUACCGAAGUAGUCUUCUCGUUUUCCCUUUCUUCUUUGAGAAGUCUCUUUCUCUCUCUCUCUCACUCAACUGGGUCCUCCUCGUGGUCGCCCUCGAGCGUCUCGAGAGUGGUUUCGUUUUCCUCGAAGUGACGCGCUUCGAGGUUGACUGAGGGGCUUGUACGAGGCCCAACGCCUCGGUUUAAUGGGCUUGAUGCAUCGUGAGGGGUGGAUAACCUUUGAGGACGGAGGUUGCUUAGAAUUUUCGGUCGAAAGCUUUCGGUUCCCUUUGUUUCAAAGUUUCUUUUUGAUUCACUUCGGCAUUAAAAUCCAAAUACCGCUGAUGCAUUAUAGAAAAAAAAAGUGCAUGCUCUCUUUGCAUGCACUCUCUCUUCCAAAAUUCGUGAUACAUUUCCUGGAAAUAUCAUAGAUUCUUUUUUAAGAAUCUUUUGAAAGAAUACAAAAUAACCAUCGAUUUCGAAUUAUUAUUUUUUAUACACGAGACAAGCAUCAACUCUUAUUUUUGAAACGUAUCUUACCCUGUACAAUGGAAAAUUGAAAAUAUCCCUGAAUGGAAUUAAUAAAUCAAAAGGUUGAUCCAUCCCAUAAAAUCCAAAUACCGCUGAUGCAUUAUAGAAAAAAAAAUGCACUCUUUACAUUCGUGAUACAUUUCCUGGAGAUAUCAUAGAUUCUUUUCUAAAGAUUCUUUUUCAAGAAUCUUUUGAAAGAAUACAAAAUAUUCCACGAAAUAACCAUCGAAUUAUUAUUUUUCAUACACGAGACAAGCAUCAACUCUUAUUUUUGAAACAUAUCUUACCUUGUACAAUGGAAAAUUGAAAAUAUCUCGGAAUGGAAUUAAUAAAUCAAAAGGUCGAUCCAACCCCAUCGUGAAUCAAUCCCAGCGAAACGUUCCAUUCCAAAUCCAACCAUCCGCCGCCAUUCAUAUCACGUAAAGCGGUAUCCGGCGAAUGAUCCUACGUCAGAAUCCGGACAGAUUUAUUAAGAACGAUCCACGACGGCUAUGUACGAUCGUGUGUAUAUACACGAUGGUUGAUACACGCGAUAAGCGGCGCGUCCCCACACCCCCGCGCUAUAUUUAAAUCACGAGUUUACGCCGCGAAACCUUUGGCCGGAGUUAAGCGCGCGGAUAAUUGCCUCAGACGACAAAGUUCGGCUCGUGUUAGUUGGGGGGAGAGGGGAGGGAGAAAAUUUGCUGACGGAUGAUUCACCAUCGGCUCUCGAGUUUUGUAUCACUUGGAAAGAAGACCCAAGGGGAAAAUCGGGUCACUCGUCCGUCGAGAGGCAUCGAUUUACCGAUGAAUUCUAAUUAGACCGGAUGGAGAGCUCUUGGAGAGUUUAAAAAAAGGACACGUAGACACGGUCUUUCUUGAAUGGGCGGGCGCGCGCGCGCGUGUGCCUAGUCAGAGGUUUAUAUUGUUCUCGCCCUGAGUGAAAAGGUGUAUUCAUCUCCGCGUAGAACGGAUGCACGUGCGCAUUGCGAAAUAACCAAUGGUGAUAAUGAAUCGAGGAGGGGGGAGGAGGGAUUAUUUUUAAGCCCCCUCCCACAGUUUGUAAUCUGAACGAGAAGAGAUUAAAUUUCCUUCGCGAUGCGCUAUUGGAAUAUACAGUUGUGUGUGUUUAUAAUAUAAGCCGCGUAUAUCUAUCGAGAUAUAUUCCGAUGUAUUCUGAUGCACAACGUUCGAGUUAAUUCGAAAGGGAACGAGAUGAAGGCAAGUAGAAGAGGAUUGUUUGUUAUUAGUUAUAAAUAAUAUCGAAUUAGAUAGCCCCAAUAGCUUCGUUCAUCGAAUGCAUAUAUAAAUUAUAUAAGUUUGAUAAAUAGACGUCUAUGAAUAUAUCUUUUGCGCACGUUACGAUUAAAAUCGAUUAAAAUUGUAUCAGAAACGUGAUCCACGUGCCAUGAUUUAUGACAAAACAGUUUCGAUUCAAUUUGGAUCAUAUAUAAUCCCCUUGACACGGUAUAAAUUGGAUAAUAAUUUGUGAAACGAUGCAAUUAAGAUAUAUAUAUAUAUAUAUCCGCGUGUAAAUUGAAUUAUUCAACUGGUUGUCCUUAAAUCUUACUUACGUUACAUUCGUCCGUUCGAAUUUCACUCAAGUUGAUUCAUCAACGAAAGAAACACGAGGGAGGAAUCGCGUUGAAAAAUUGGCGGAACGAAAUUCUUUCUACAAAUUUCUUUCCAACGGCAUUGAAUCAGAUUUCACGCUCUCUCGAUGUUUUCCUCCGGCUUGUCGUACAGCUAACCAAGCUUAAGCUGCUUAGAACUUCGUAACCUCUCUCUCUCUCUUUCUCUCUCUCUCUCUCUCUCCCGUUUCGGAGAUGUACACACAGGGCUCCACACCGCCCACGCGACAAUGGCUGGGCUACGAAUUUGAAGCAAUAGCGCCAUUGGUGGUCGGCGUAACUCUGAUGUAUCGGCGGAUUAGGCAAGCAACCACGCCAUUUCAGUCGGAUUUUCCUUCGACCUCGAUACUCACUCGCUCUCCUUACUCUCCCCCUGUGCAAAUGGUAUUCCGUCGAAGAUACCGGUCGUAAAACGUCAACCAAUUUGCCGGAUGAUCCCUGGCAUCAUCUCGUUCCUACGCCACGCUAUACUCUUUAGUAUUCAUGGAAUACCUUCCCAUUACUUUAAUCAGUGUUUCUAAUUAGAACUUAUUCCUGGAUAAUAUUUCUCCUCGUCUCGGACGAGAUUUAGUUCAGUUUUAUUUCGGGAUGGAGAGAGAGGGAGAGAGAGUGAGAGAGAUGGCCUCUUUCGGUCGUAAUAAAAAUAAUUUCUUUCGGGGGAGGAGGAUUCUUUGGGUGGAUCGUUUAAUCUCGGUAAAAGGGAGUAUUCGGGAAAAUGAAAUGUGUAUACGUAAAAAAGUAACACUUGUUUAUUUUUUUAUAUAUAUAGAAUAAUAUGGAGUAACAAGGAAUUUAAAUAAAUAUAUUCAUUGUCGCGAGUUUCAAGAGUUUCGCAAACAGAGUUUCUUUGAAAGAAAUAGCUCUUCGAAUUUGUGUGAAAAGAAAAGGGAUAUUAAAAGAAUCUUUGAAAUUCUCUUUCUCGUAAUCGUGGCAUUGAAAAAAUAAUUGGCCCAUAAAGAAAAAUCAAUUUCAACAACGCUUCCAUUCUGAACCAUGAUUGCAAAUAUAAUAUACAGGGACUCGAGACGUUUUCGCGCGAAGGAUUAAAUAAAUUUAAAAAAGAGAGAGAGAGAAAAAAAGAAGAAACGCGAUUCUUUUGUGCAUGUUUCGAGAGCGGUCGACCACGACGUUGGUCGUCCCUUGUACGUCUCUGAUAAACGUGCAAGUUCGGCCACGAGGAAGGGAUGCGCCAUAAUGGCGCAGGAGUGGUAGCCCAUUGUCGUGUACACAAUGAAUCUCUCGUUUGAGCAUUCCUAAGGAGAACGUCUCUGGCAGUUCCGGGAUAAAUGCCGCGAAGCAUCGUUGUCAAACAACUUUACCUUACCGAUCCAUUGCCCACUCAAAUACUUGGACUAAUCUUCAUACUAAACUAGGAGAAUCCUGGGAGAAAUUUCGUUCCCCAAAUUUUAUCGAACUUUGGAUUGGAUAAAAUUCGAAAUUCGAGUAAAAAUAUUUCGGAUCGCUCGAGCGCUGCAAUUCCCCAACACCGAUUCCAAAAUACAAUUGAACACGUUGGAAAUUUUUGAAAUUUAAUACGCGAUUGUUUGCGGCCGGCACAAAGGGACGACGUUUAACCAUUUCAAUUUCCAUUAUGCGGGAAUAUUCGUUUCGAAAAAAUAAAAUUCAUCACGGGAUCUCGAUUAACCAGCCACGAUGUGGCCGGUUAACGCAUUCGCGUUGCCAUUCCCUGCCCGUUGGGGCGGGAAAAUAUCAGAGAUCGAUCGGUUUACACCGUGUUCACAAGGGCACACCGAGGGAAACAACGUUGGAACAAUGGAGUUGGCCGCUUCGAUACACAUCCUUCAGACGUAAAUUCCCUUGCGCUUGGUCGACAUCUUACAUCCCCUCGAAUAUUCCGCCAUUAUUCACUUCCUUUUCCUUCCUCCCCGGGCUCCAUCCAUCCGAGCACAAAGAGAAUUCGCGAUAACGGGAUACAUCGUUUCCUGGAUAUCCUCUCGACGACGGUGAUCUCGCUGUUCGAGAGGAGGAGGACUCUCUUGUUGGCCCAUCGCGUCGACCGAUAAAUUAAACGACUUCCGUAGUGAGAGGGAUCACCCAGAGGCCGAAACUUGGAAAACGUUGAAGAUGGCUCCUUAAUGGGUAAAGUUCCGUUGACGAAACAAUCUAUCCGGCCCGUGUGUCGAGGAACACACACGGACGAUAGAGAGAUUCGAGAGAGGAUGAUUAGCAGAGGAAGCUUUCGUAAGCUUUUCUUCAAUCGUUGUUGUCGCUCGAAUUUUAAAAUACGAGAGCGCGUUUCAUAUCUCGUAUAAUAAUAAAUUGUACGAUAAAAUAGCAGGAAAAUUUUUCUCGAUUCGAGAUAAUAACGAAAAAUAGUUUCCAAUAGGCAUUUCCAUGGAUUUAAACCCGCGCCCUUUGUCACCGAAUUUCACCCGGCGAAUAAAACGUAAUUCGUGUCCCGACGCUGACAAAUUUACUUUUCCACAUACGAGGCAAUGUACUAUGAAACGGGACAAUACACGUUCCCAUUGCCUCCAUUGUUCCCCGCUAAAUGGAGGCAACGAUAGAGAGAGAAGGAAAGAUGAGAGGGAGAAGAGAGGGGGAGAAAGAUGAUGGGGAAAAAAAAGAGAAAAGAAAAAAAAAUUCCGCGAGAGUUCCUCAUCAACGGUUCUCGUAAUAACUCUCGGUGCAUCCCCCUCCAUUUUGUCGCGCGUUAUUAAUUCCUCGAUCGUCGUCCAACCGACGACCUAGCGUAUUCGUCUGUGCCAAAAAUAAAAUUGUUCCGGUCCCAUUUACACCCAUUCCACAUUUGCACACAUUUCCAUCAUUCUCAAUGUUGUGCACAAAAGUUAAAACGGAAUCUCGCGGAUACUUUGAGAAUCGGGCUAUGUAUACCGGCCAGCCUCUGGAUACCGAAACGAUCCGUCCCGAUUCUCCACUGUCUUUAUUUAGCGGUUAAAUCUUAAAUCCGAGGCAAAGGGGAAUCGGGCCAAAUAUACCUUCUCCGCUUCCUAACGCAACGUUGCGGGAAAAAAUGCAUUCGAAUCGAGAGCGAAUAUAUUGCGAAUAUUCUCCAAAUUUUCAAGAUAUUAAAAUUGGCCGGUAUAUAUCUGUCGCGCGAUCAAUUUGAAGACGAAAGGCGAAGAUCGAAAUUGAAAUUCGAAUACAUGACCUCUCGCGCGAAUUAUACGCGAGUUCGAUCGAGUUGGAGUGGUUCAAACACUUGGAGGGUUGAAUCACUUUGCAUGGAGGAUUAACGAAGCCUUGGCUCACGCGUCGACACGUUGUCGCUUUCGAAUCAGAUUAAACGCGAUGCAAACCUUCGCGAUAUGAUCCUCUUUACGAUGAUAAUCUGUGUCUCGGUUAAUUCGCUGUGCAAAUAAUGAUCGGAAUAUUGUCGCGCGCAAUUUCGUAGGAAUGGUAUAUAGGGAGGACGAGGAAAGGCGAGAUAAAUUAAUUAUAGGACGUAUAUAAAUAAUCGUUUUCGUUCUUUUUCCAGAGCUAAUCUCUCUGGGGUGACGUUUCCAUUCGCGAAUUUACGCGCCAACUUCUCCUUCUCUCCGGUCUCUUGAGAAUUCAACAACUUUCCUUUUACCUCCUAUCGAGCAAAGAGAGGGGUCGGCCUGAAGCGCAUCGUCUCGCAUUGGCGAGAAACGUGAAAGGCGAAAAGGAAGGAGAGAAAGGAAGGAGAAAUUUCGAACAUGCAAAAAUUCGUCGACCGAAAAGUCGAAGAGGAGAAGGAAAUUUUAGAAAUGUGGGGAUGGAAGAAAGGGGUGGCGUGGCGAGAAGAAAACGCCAAGGAUGAAAGAAACGAGAGAAAUGGGAAAGAAGGGAGGAUCUUUUGGAGAAAUGGAAGGAAAGAUAGCAGGUGGAAAAACCGCGAAGAAAUUCGAAAUGUAAAUCUCGAAGAGAAAUGGCACGGUAGUCUGUGAAAGAAGGCAAUCUCGAUGAUAAAAAAAGAAAAAAGAAAUUGAUCUUCGAAACUGUCUCUCUGAGUCUAGAAACAAGUCUCGGAAUCGUUUUAUGUCCAUUCGCUGUGUGUAAGAAUCAGUGGAGGAAUUUAGAAACGAGUCAGCUCCGGCAAACUACAAUUUUCCAGGACGUCAACCAUAUCGACGAAAUGAUCUCGACCUUUCGGCAUUCCCCUGCUGUCAUAGCACGCGACAUCGGGCGUCGUAUGCAUGGCUCGUGCCAGUUGGUAACCCCGGUGUAAUUCUUUUUUCGGCGGAGAAUCGGUUCUCAGGAGAUUGGAAAGGUGGAAAUGAGAUUUCCAGGGGCAAUUUGAAGCGAGUUUGUGCCGGUAAAAAGGUCGAGAUGAAGGGAGAGGAGGAGGAGGAGAGGGCGUCUCGUGACGAAGAAGAGGAGGAAGUCGAGACGGGGUCGAGGGCUGACUAGCGCGAGAUGAGGAGACGGAUACACACGGAGAUAAAUAAAUCUUUGAACUUCAUCGAAAAUCAAUUUAUAUUGGGAAAAAAAAAACGACGACAGAAAUAUCAAAUCAUAUCUAGUUUCUUAAAUAUUCUCAUUGAUUCACGAAUGAAUCGAAACUAAAGGAAACGAACUUGAAGUAAUAAUUCUAAAAAUGGAUUAAUCGUAAAAUUAUCGAUAAGCCUAUUCAUCUACAGUUUCUCACACGACACUUUCACUUCCCAUCUUUUUGAUGAGAGAACAUAAAUUUGAAGAAGAUUGUUCAAACAAAUUCAAUCAUCUGGAGAACAAGAUCGACCACCAACAUGAUUUUUAAGCAGAUUCAUUUAUCAACAAGUCUUUACUUCGCUGCCAUCACUUAAACGAGAUGCAGUAUCUUCCAGUUAAAACUGAAUCACUGCAAGUACCAAGACAAUGUAUAAAUAUAAAUUAUGUAAUGUAUAUGUAAUAUAAAUUUAUUAUUUAAUAA
rnacentral:lncRNA from 11 species